rnacentral:lncRNA from 1 species
ACACAGAGCAGGAUGAAACUUAUCACUGACAACUACGAGGAUGACCAUUACCACCCUCAUGCUCCACCUCCCCACAUGCAACCUCAACCAAUUCAUCCUCAACCCCAACCCCAACCGCCUUACCCACAUCCCCAACACCCCCACCAGCCUCCUUACCCACACGCGCCCCAUCCCCAACACCCACAGCCUCCACCCCACCACCCUCAACACCCGCAGCAGCCGCCCCAGCCUCAAUAUCCCCACCCACAACACCCUCAACACCCACAACACCCUCAACACCCUCAACACCCCCAACACCCGCAACCGCCCGGCCCACACCAGCACCCACCUAGACCCCAGCCACCCCAUCCUCAACACCCUCAUCCUGGGGUCCCUCCGCAGCAGCAUCCCCACGGCCCUCCGCCUCAGCAGAGCCCCCACCCUCAGCCCAUGCCACACCAACAGCAGCACCCCCAUCACCCCCCGCACCCCGGCCCACAGGGCCCACACCCUCGGCACCCUCCACCACACCAUCGGGGUCCAGGCCGUGGACCCCCGCAUCCCGGACACCGACCCGCUCCAGACCAGGAUGAUGAAGAAGGAAUUUGGGCAUAACUAUUUCCAAACCAAAGCUAUGAUGUUGUUUUUUUUCGGGACAAUUCAGUCACUAAAGGAGCAGCACAGCCAUGCCAUACAGAUGAAAUUCUACAUUGUUCACUUGGCCAGUCUUUACCUGCAAUCAGAUUCAUUCUUUUGGAUGGGGCCCUAUUUUUUUCCAUGCAUUAAGGAAAGAGGCGGAGCAUUAGUUUGAGUGGGAGGGUCAAAGUUGGAGAUGGCCACCUGAGCAG